rnacentral:rRNA from 1 species
GACGAACGCUGGCGGCGUGCUUAACACAUGCAAGUCGAACGGAAAGGCCCUGCUUUUGUGGGGUGCUCGAGUGGCGAACGGGUGAGUAACACGUGAGUAACCUGCCCUUGACUUUGGGAUAACUUCAGGAAACUGGGGCUAAUACCGGAUAGGAGCUCCUGCUGCAUGGUGGGGGUUGGAAAGUUUCGGCGGUUGGGGAUGGACUCGCGGCUUAUCAGCUUGUUGGUGGGGUAGUGGCUUACCAAGGCUUUGACGGGUAGCCGGCCUGAGAGGGUGACCGGCGACAUUGGGACUGAGAUACGGCCCAGACUCCUACGGGAGACAGCAGUGAGGAAUAUUGCACAAUGGACGGAAGCCUGAUGCAGCAACGCCGCGUGGGGGAGGACGGCCUUCGGGUUAUAAACCGCUUUCGCCUGUGACGAAGCGUGAGUGACGGUAAUGGGUAAAGAAGCACCGGCUAACUACGUG